ACGCGCGGAACCUUACCCACCUUUGACAUGUACGGAAUUCGCCAGAGAUGGCUUAGUGCUCGAAAGAGAACCGUAACACAGGUGCUGCAUGGCUGUCGUCAGCUCGUGUCGUGAGAUGUUGGGUUAAGUCCCGCAACGAGCGCAACCCUUGUCAUUAGUUGCUACAUUCAGUUGGGCACUCUAAUGAGACUGCCGGUGACAAACCGGAGGAAGGUGGGGAUGACGUCAAGUCCUCAUGGCCCUUAUAGGU
rnacentral:rRNA from 1 species